ACUUAAAUUGAAGAGUUUGAUCAUGGCUCAGAUUGAACGCUGGCGGCAGGCCUAACACAUGCAAGUCGAGCGGUAGCACAGAGAGCUUGCUCUCGGGUGACGAGCGGCGGACGGGUGAGUAAUGUCUGGGAAACUGCCUGAUGGAGGGGGAUAACUACUGGAAACGGUAGCUAAUACCGCAUAACGUCGCAAGACCAAAGUGGGGGACCUUCGGGCCUCAUGCCAUCAGAUGUGCCCAGAUGGGAUUAGCUAGUAGGUGGGGUAACGGCUCACCUAGGCGACGAUCCCUAGCUGGUCUGAGAGGAUGACCAGCCACACUGGAACUGAGACACGGUCCAGACUCCUACGGGAGGCAGCAGUGGGGAAUAUUGCACAAUGGGCGCAAGCCUGAUGCAGCCAUGCCGCGUGUGUGAAGAAGGCCUUCGGGUUGUAAAGCACUUUCAGCGGGGAGGAAGGCGAUAAGGUUAAUAACCUUGUCGAUUGACGUUACCCGCAGAAGAAGCACCGGCUAACUCCGUGCCAGCAGCCGCGGUAAUACGGAGGGUGCAAGCGUUAAUCGGAAUUACUGGGCGUAAAGCGCACGCAGGCGGUCUGUCAAGUCGGAUGUGAAAUCCCCGGGCUCAACCUGGGAACUGCAUUCGAAACUGGCAGGCUAGAGUCUUGUAGAGGGGGGUAGAAUUCCAGGUGUAGCGGUGAAAUGCGUAGAGAUCUGGAGGAAUACCGGUGGCGAAGGCGGCCCCCUGGACAAAGACUGACGCUCAGGUGCGAAAGCGUGGGGAGCAAACAGGAUUAGAUACCCUGGUAGUCCACGCCGUAAACGAUGUCGAUUUGGAGGUUGUGCCCUUGAGGCGUGGCUUCCGGAGCUAACGCGUUAAAUCGACCGCCUGGGGAGUACGGCCGCAAGGUUAAAACUCAAAUGAAUUGACGGGGGCCCGCACAAGCGGUGGAGCAUGUGGUUUAAUUCGAUGCAACGCGAAGAACCUUACCUGGUCUUGACAUCCACAGAACUU
rnacentral:rRNA from 1 species